rnacentral:misc_RNA from 1 species
GAUGAAGAACGCAGCGAAAUGCGAUACGUAAUGUGAAUUGCAGAAUUCCGUGAAUCAUCGAAUCUUUGAACGCACAUUGCGCCCCCUGGUAUUCCGGGGGGCAUGCCUGUCCGAGCGUCAUUACAACCCUCAAGCUCAGCUUGGUGUUGGGCCCCGCCGCCCCGGCGGGCCCUAAAGUCAGUGGCGGUGCCGUCCGGCUCCGAGCGUAGUAAUUCUUCUCGCUCUGGAGGUCCGGUCGUGUGCUCGCCAGCAACCCCCAAUUUUUUUCAGGUUGACCUCGGAUCAGGUAGGGAUACCCGCUGAACUUAAGCAUAUCAAUAAGCGGAGGA